rnacentral:lncRNA from 1 species
UCGGCACGACGGAGACAACAAAGGUACGAUUUCGUUUCAUCUCGAUCGACCACAGAUUCACGACAAAAUCCAACAUUUCAUUCCAACAGAAUGAAUAACACAAAAAUACAUAUAAAACAUGUAUUUUUGGAUUUUCUCGAAAUCCGUGCGUCAAACUCAAAAUCCAUUAGCGCCAUUAGUUCCAGAACAGCUGAACCGGUCGAAACGAGCUAUUGGACCGCUAGGAACGGAGUCCGAUACGAGCCUGAAGCCAACUUUACACCGUGGCUUCUCCGGAAAAUCGAGUUACUAUUCACUUUAAGUGAAACUUGGAAAUCCCGUAGAAUUUCCGUUUUAACUCGUUUUCGCCCGAAACUUGACGAGUACUUUUGUAAUUAAAUUACACACAAAAACAUCGUCAACUGAGAGUUUAGCUACACUGCAAAAAUCUCAGUCCUUACAUCUCUUUAGCUCUUCGAAGAUAAAAUU